rnacentral:rRNA from 1 species
UACGGGGGGAGCAAACGUUGUUCGGAAUCACUGGGCGUAAAGGGCGUGUAGGCGGCUGAAUAAGUGGGAUGUUAAAUCCCCCGGCUCAACCGGGGACCUGCAUCUCAUACUGUUCAGCUCGAGCACAUCAGAGGAGACUGGAAUUCCGCGUGUAGCAGUGAAAUGCGUAGAUAUGCGGAGGAACACCGAUGGCGAAGGCAAUCCCCUGGGCCUGCACUGACGCUCAUGCACGAAAGCGUGGGGAGCAAACAGG